CCUGUAGCUCAGUUGGAUAGAGCAACGGCCUUCUAAGCCGUGGGUCGGGGGUUCGAAUCCCUUCAGGC
rnacentral:tRNA from 2 species